GGUCGUGGGGUCCCUGCUGGGCCAUUUUUACAGAUUGAAUAGGCGUGGAGCUGGAGGAACAGAACGCUAGACAGCUUAAUGGUCUUCCAGGCGUGUGUGCAAUUUUCCAAUUCUCUAUAGAAACCCGUGCAGGAAGUCACAUGAGCUCCAAGGGCUCCUUCAAGCUCUGAAGCAUCCGAAGAGUCAAAGCUCUGGUCUUGGCUUGACCGAGAACUGGACGGUACCCAAAAACACAGAUUCGGAAAGGGCAUUUUUGUUUUCAUCUCACUGAAGACUUGUUGGAGGAGGGGGGGUAUCUCUACCCACUUGACUUCCCAGAGGAAAGUCACUUCUCCACGCCAUGCACAGAGCACCAAGUGGACUCCCAUCUCAUCUCUCCCAACAUGUAACUUGGCUCCUGGAAUUCUGUUGGAUGGAGAGGCCCUCCCUGUUGUAGCAUGGGAGAGCCAAUCCUGUGGGAAGGAGCUCAACCCUGGCCCUUCCUGCCCACUGCCCUGCCCCAGGGUUCAGAUCCUGGGUCCCGGAAGGAGAGGGCAGACUGCAGGGUUGUACGACAUACCUUCCAACUUCUUUUAUGUGGUCUCAGUUUCCUGAAGUGAAACCUGGAUGUGCUUGAGGAGAAGACUGUGGAUUGGAUUCCUAGAGAGAAAAUGGCUGGGCCAAAGAUUAUGAAUGUUUUCCAGGCUCAGGAAGCCUGUGGCUCAAUUUCCCUCCCAUCAGUGAUUAUAACACUUAAAAAAAAAGUCCUCCCAAAAGUAAGUGACCAAGUGACUUUACUUUGGUAAUCAUUGAUUGA